rnacentral:rRNA from 1 species
AGCCUUCAGCAAGCCCAGUAUUGAAGGUGAUGCCUGCCCAGUGACUUUAGUUUAACGGCCGCGGUAUCCUAACCGUGCGAAGGUAGCGCAAUCAAUUGUCCCAUAAAUCGGGACUUGUAUGAAUGGCGAAACGAGGCCUUAACUGUCUCUCACAGAUAGUCAGUGAAAUUGAUCUUCCUGUGCAAAAGCAGGAAUGAACACAUAAGACGAGAAGACCCUGUGGAACUUAAAAACCAGCAGCCACCAUGCAUAAACACCAACCUACCAGGUCUACAAUUAUAAAUCCAAGUACUGGCUCACAUUUUUUGGUUGGGGCGACCUUGGAGAAGAAAAAAGCCUCCAAAAAUAAGACCACUCCUCUUAACUAAGAACAACCUCUCAAAGUACUAACAGUGACCAGAUCCAAUAAAAAUUGAUCAAUGGACCAAGCUACCCCAGGGAUAACAGCGCAAUCUCUCCUAAGAGCCCCUAUCGACGGAGAGGCUUACGACCUCGAUGUUGGAUCAGGACAUCCUAAUGGUGCAGCCGCUAUUAAGGGUUCGUUUGUUCAACGAUUAACAGUCCU